GGGAGGCAGCAGUAGGGAAUCUUCCACAAUGGACGAAAGUCUGAUGGAGCAACGCCGCGUGAACGAUGAAGGCCCUCGGGUCGUAAAGUUCUGUUGUAAGGGAAGAACAAGUGCCGCAGGCAAUGGCGGCACCUUGACGGUACCUUGCGAGAAAGCCACGGCUAACUACGUGCCAGCAGCCGCGGUAAUACGUAGGUGGCAAGCGUUGUCCGGAAUUAUUGGGCGUAAAGGGUGCGUAGGCGGUUUAUUAAGUCUAUGGUGAAAGUGCGGGGCUCAACCCCGUAUGGCCAUAGAAACUAGUAGACUUGAGUGCAGGAGAGGGCAAUGGAAUUCCAUGUGUAGCGGUAAAAUGCGUAGAUAUAUGGAGGAACACCAGUGGCGAAGGCGGUUGCCUGGCCUGUAACUGACGCUGAGGCACGAAAGCGAGGGAAACAAACUAGGAUUAGAUUCCCUAGUAGUUCACGCUAUAAUAAAGGAAUACUAAGUGUGGGAGAAAAUUCAGUGCUGCAGUUAACGCAAUAAGUAUUCCGCCUGGGGAGUAUGCACCGCAAGUGUGAAACUCAAAGGAAUUGACGGGACCCCGCACAAGCGGUGGAUUAUGUUGUUUAAUUCGACGCAACGCGAAGAACCUUACCAGGCCUUGACAUACUCGGCAAAGCUCUAGAGAUAGAGCGGAGGUUAUCCGGGAUACAGGUGGUGCAUGGUUGUCGUCAGCUCGUGUCGUGAGAUGUUGGGUUAAGUCCCGCAACGAGCGCAACCCUUGUCUUUAGUUACCAUCAUUAAGUUGGGGACUCUAGAGAGACUGCCGGUGAUAAACCGGAGGAAGGUGGGGAUGACGUCAAAUCAUCAUGCCCCUUAUGGCCUGGGCUACAAACGUAAUACAAUGGCGUAUACAAAGGGAUGCGAAAGGGCGACCUGGAGCAAAACUCACAAAGUACGUCUCAGUUCAGAUUGGAGUCUGCAACUCGACUCCAUGAAGGCGGAAUCGCUAGUAAUCGCGGAUCAGCAUGCCGCGGUGAAUACGUUCUCGGGGUUUGCAAACGCCCCCCGUCAA
rnacentral:rRNA from 1 species